rnacentral:misc_RNA from 1 species
UGAGGAUCUUACUUUUGAGUGUUUUUCUGGAUACAAGUUACCUCAGUUUGCGUUUGAGAGUCCGUUGGUGAGGAAUUUGAAUUUUCAGUACUGUAAGAUGAAAUUGGAACCUUCCGUUAAUGUGAACUGGAGAAAUCUAGUAUCUCUAUCAGUUGGAUAUGUGAAACUGACUGAGGGUGUCAUGAGAAAAAUAUUGUCGGGUUGUCCUAACUUAGAGUGCUUGCUAUUGGACUUCGUUUGGGGCUUUGAUCGUCUUGAAAUCAGCAAUGUGAAGUUGAAAAAGUUGACCCUAAACAGCUAUGAAACUAGUGACGGUGAUGUUUGGCUUGAAAUAUUAGCUCCGCAUAUUCAAAGUUUGGUACUUUUGGGGUAUUCCAGUGGGAUACGCUUGGAAAAUGUGGCUUCACUUGUCACUGCAUUCUUUCGUAUAGAUUUUAUGUUUGAUUUUGGAGAGGUAGAAAUAUUGGACCAGCGUGAGAUUAGUUGUCUGAAGGAACUUCUUCACAGCGUUGCCCAUGUCAAGAAUCUGGAAUUGAGUCACUGGUGCAUUGAGUGCAUGUCCAAACUGGCAUUGGAAGGCUUCCAGUAUCAACCAUCGAGCUCAAGAUUCUUAAAACUUCACACAAACAAUGAAGAGUUGGACCUACCAGGAAUUUG